UGGUGGAGUGAUCUGUCAGGUUAAAUCCGAUAACGAACGAGAUCUUAACUAACUAAUUAUCAACUACUCAUCAUUAGUAUAUAAGGGAGUAGAAGAUUAUAGGAGUACACUGCGAUUAUCGCGCAAGGAAGUGGAAGGCAAUAACA
rnacentral:rRNA from 1 species